rnacentral:lncRNA from 1 species
UAAAGAGUCUCACUCCUGUGUCCUCUGCAGGGUCUGAUUCUUCUGAUGGGAGCACAAGUGAGAAGUUAGCUCUCCACCAGGUGGCCUGCCCCACAGGGUCCCUGCUGGCUCAGAGCCAGGUUUGCACACAGUGGGAUGUCCCUGUCCCUGGAACCUGCCCCACGAGAUCACUUUGUAGGAAGGAAGGGGGCCCAGGAGCCCUCUGUGUCCCCCACAACCAAAACCCUCCCAUGUCCUCAGGACUGCUCAAGUCCCCCUGUCUGUCCCGUCCACUCACCCAAAGAUGACUUUUCUUUCCUGUGAGCUUUACAUGUGAUUUUUUCUUUAAAG